GGCCCUACCUCUUUUAGCAAAAAAUUAAACCUUUAUUUUUUUCAUUACUAAUUUUAUUCAUUACACUAUUAGUUUAUGAUAUGGUACAAAAAUCAACCCAAAAUAUCGAUUCGGUUGGCCCCAGAUGACUUUUAAAAUGUUUAUAUCAUUGAAAAGGCUCCAAAUUAUCUCCCUUUGGUGCAAAAAUGCCAUUUUUUGGCAUUAAAUUUUAAAUAUCUUUUUUUAACUCAUCGGUGACUUAUAUUUUUUAUUAUUGUUUUCAAAUAAGCUGUACAGAAACUAAAUAGUUGUAAAAUUUAAGCGAUAUCUGUAAUUAGGUUAUUUUUUAUUUCGAUAGUAACUACCUCUAUUUUUUUUAUUGGUUCAACAGAAAAAAGAACAUUAACAAAAAUGUAUGCUUCUUCCGAAGGCAUAUUGUUAGCUUAAAUGAACGGUGACUCCAUUUUUUUUCUUUCUUUUUUCUUUCAAGUAUAUGAUAAAGUUCAUUUAUAAAAGAAUAUAGCGAAAUCCUAUAUUAGAAAAAAAAAUUUGAUUUAUACCAAGGAGCACCCUUAAGGAUGUUUGUUUCUCGUUUUUUUUUUGUUUUUUUUUUUGUUUUUUUUUUGUUUUUUUUUUGUUUUUUAAAUUUUUCAGAUAUUUGGAAUUCUCUGGUUUUAUCAAUACAGUUCCAUCAGAAAUUAAGCCAAUUCACUCGUACCUUUUUCCCAAUAAUUUUAUUACGUACAUGUAUAUAGUUUAAAAGGCCAUAUAUUAGAAACUAGUUGUUAUAUUAACGUGUUUUUUGUAAGUAAAAAGGUUCCAAUGUUAGAUCUAUGAAAAAUGUGGAGAGGAUCAUUAAUUCUUGACAACAAGCACACGUGCCCUAUUUUACUGCUUUUCAAGUUUAAGUUUCUGGAUUAACAUUUAAUCAAUAAAAACAGUCUAUUAAAAAGCUUGUUAUUUUGAAACUGAGUAAGGAACAUCUUUAAAGGAAUAACGUAGUCUUUUAUAGUUUUGCCCAAAUUUAAAACAUGUUUUCAAUUAAGAAAAAAAAAUAUAAUAAAUAGUGAUCAUUUGAUGAUCUAGUACUAAUACUUAAAGUCAUCAAACUUCUUUUAUUUCAGGAAAAAACUCAAAACUUUAUGAAAUAAGGAAAUGUGGUAUGAUUACCAAUCUUGGGAUAACUUUACAUUUAAGACCAAAUGACGUAGAUGUAAGCUUGCUUACAUAGCUACAUUUGAGAUGUCCCAAUUACCAAUUAAGCCUUGAACUGCUUGUUCAAAAAGAUAUUUAGUCACGAAUUGCUUUAUAAAAUAGAACAUCAUCAUGCACCCAAAUAUCUAUCUUGCUCUCUAAACAAAAUGCUUAUAUAGGGUUUAUACAGCUAUCUUAGGACUACAUGUGCAGUUAUUAAGCUUCAACUUUUGAAUUCUUUACCUAGUUAACAACAAUAUGAAGAGAAGAAAUACUGUUGUUAACUAGAUUCAUUUGACCAAAUUUCCGAAAUUUUCCGUUACCUGCAGCAGACGAUUCGAAACACCCUCUCUUUCUGAGAAUCGACUAAGCUCACCAUCAGGAUAUUUAUAUUAAAUCAUUAAGUAUAUCAUCAUUAAUUAUCCAUCAGGGAAUUUCUAUUUAAAACUUAUAUUAAACCUGCAUUAAAUAAUUAAGGUCAAUUGCAAUUCAAUGGUUUUAUCUCCAGAACUUUAUGCCGACGACUUGAUUGCGCAC
rnacentral:lncRNA from 1 species